rnacentral:rRNA from 1 species
UACGUAGGGGGCAAGCGUUGUCCGGAUUUAUUGGGCGUAAAGAGCUCGUAGGCGGUUCCGUAAGUCGAGUGUGAAAAAUCUGGGCUCAACCCAGUGGAGCACUCGAUACUGCGGUGACUAGAGUACGGUAGAGGAGUGUGGAAUUCCUGGUGUAGCGGUGAAAUGCGCAGAUAUCAGGAGGAACACCAACGGCGAAGGCAGCACUCUGGGCCGGUACUGACGCUGAGGAGCGAAAGCGUGGGGAGCGAACAGG